UAGGCUCUGUGGUUUAACCCACAGCGCCACCCGCGUCCCUUGUAAACGCAUAGUCCCGCACUAAUAAGUAAAGCAGGUGUUAGAAAAGUGUUGAAUAUAUUUACAACAUGAUAAUAUAAAGACGAAGGGACGCGGGUGGCGCUGUGGGUAAAACCUCAGUGCCUA